CAAUAGCGUAUAUUAAAGCUGUUGCGGUUAAAAAGCUCGUAGUUGGAUUUCUGUCAAGUACAACUGGUCCGCCCUCCGGGUGAGCACAUAGUUUGGUCUUGGCAUCUUGCUGGAAAUUGUUGCUGCACUUGGCUGUGUGGCGCAGUGUCCAGCACUUUCACUUUGAGGAAAUUGGAGUGUUUCAAGCAGGCAAUGCCUUUGAACACAGUAGCAUGGAAUAGUUAGAUUGGGCUUUUGCUCCAAUUUGUCGGUUUCUGGAGCUGAGGUGAGAAUUAAUGGGGAUUGUUGGGGGCAUCCGAAUUUAGCCGUCAGAGGUGAAAUUCUUGGAUCGGCUAAAGACGGACAACUGCGAAAGCGUUUGCCCAGGAUGUUUUCAUUGA
rnacentral:rRNA from 1 species